CUGGCGGAGGUGCUGCAGGUGCGUGCUCAGCGUCAGUUGUCAGAGGACCGUCGACGAGGAGGGGACGCGCUCCUUCUCUUAGUUUCCCGGACUGCGUGCGUGGGACAUUGGUCAAACAUUUUACUCGUAAAAUCCUCUCCGGUGAGCAGGUAUCGCGUGACAGUUGUUUGUGACCCGAGUGCUGUGCAGUGUGUCAACAUCAGCAAUGAUCGGCUUCUCCGGUGUGGUAAUCGUGUUAUAAGGAACAAAUAUUUACCGAAGUUAGAUCUGGAUAUAAAAAGUUUUGGAAAAGUAGGAGUGUGCUCCUUGCUCUGAACGUGUGGGGGGGGGGGGGGAUGAGGGAGGCCCCGCAGCGGCACCUCGCCUGGCCACACACACGCGGCGGCUCCAGCCACAGCAACAACGGCCCUGAACGCGCCUAGCAGCAAGGCGGCGGCAGAGCGACCAACCACAGCCUGACGCCACGUCACUGUCAAGUGAAUAGUGUGGAAAAGAAAACCUGGAAACAGUGCCAACAGUAUAUGUUGCCAGUUACCGCCAGCGAGGGUGACCCGUCAUUUCCUACGCGCCCUGGAUACUGCCCCUGCGCGUCCGUAGCUGAGUGGUUUCUGUGACCGCCUACCACUCCUCGGGGCACCGGUUCGAGUCUAAUUAGGAGCCUUCGGCGCACAGCCCACCCAGCAAUUGCUCCUGUUCAUCCUUCCUUUUGGGUUGGUCGAUAAACGGGUACCUGGGGAAACUUGGGGAGGUAAAUUGUGGGAAUCCGGACGGCAAAGGGACGAGUGUCCCCGGGCUAGUGGAUACGAGUCCACCACAGGCUCAAAAGGUCAAGAAAGCGGAAAUGAGCACCGAUGCAACGCGCAGCAAUAUCGCAUGCUCCGCACUUUACCUACGAGUAUUACUUUAUUAGGCAGACAUUGUUGGCUAGACUCUCGGCUACUCAUUUUUCCUAUCCCAUCCUGUUUUCCAUAUUAUACUUCUAAGAUAUGUUAGGUUACAAGAAGAGCUUCAUGAGCUUUUUUUGUGAAGUAAAUGUGGAAAAGAAGCUGGAGGAGAACAUUUUUGCUCC